UUUUUCUCUUCUUCUCAUUCUUAUUUUUUUCUUAUUCUCUUAUUCUCUUCUUCUUCUCUUCUUCUUUACUUCUUCUCCUUCUUAUUUUUUUAUUCUCUUCUUCUUCUUCUUAUUUUUUUUUCUUCUCUUCUUCUUCUUCUUCUUCUUCUUCCUCUUUUUCUUCUUCUCCUCCUCCUCCUCCUACUCCUCUUCUUAUUCUCCUCUUCUUGUCCUUCUCCUCCUCCUCUUCUGCUCCUCCACCUAACUAACCAAGCUAACUAACUAACCUAACU
rnacentral:lncRNA from 1 species